CAGAGAGGUAGCUUUAAGGGGUGUCUCAUAUGGGUUCAGCAGGGAGCUGGCAGCCACUCAGCUGCUGGGUAAAAUCCACAGGGUCUCACCAAACCUCGAAUUAGCUGUUUUCAGUGACAGAUUUGGAACUGCCCUCUGAUGGAUUUUGAAUACUCUACAUUGCUUGAUUAUUUAUGUAUUGCAAUCUACAAGGCAGGAAGAGAAAUAUGCAUAUAGAGUAACCUAAAUUACUCUCAGGAUUAAAAGAAGCAUGAGAGAGAGGGAUAGAAAGGAAGAUGCCUUCAUAGUCCAUAGAACCAGCCUUCACUUGUGGUGGCUGAAGAAAUUAGGUCUGCCUGAAUUACUGUUGAAAUUACACGGCAGAAAUGCAUGUAAUUAUUCCUUAAAUGUCCCGCAUGUCAUGGGCAACCCUGAAAGAAAGAACUUCAGGCAUCUGAAUUGAGCCAGAGCUAGAUCUACUGAAAAUUAAGGGACAGGUGAAACUUCAGGCCUGCCACCCCAGGGGACGUAUUCAGGAAAAACAGAAGACUGCUGAUUUUCCACAAAAUGGAAAUCAUUGAAUCCAAAACAGGAGUUUUUAAGAAAUCAGCUUUUUCGCUGCCCUUCAACAGACACCUAAACGGACGAGAGUUACUCUUGUGCAUAUUCAGGCUUUAGCACUGACGGAUUGUUUAAGAUACAGAGGCAAAAGAAAAACAAGACAGUGAUUCCAGUGAUUUUUAAUGCUGCUCUUUCUGACGGGCUGGGUGUCGGUGGAAGUGCAGCCAGCCACACCAGCCAAGGAGCCUUCCUUGCUGCUGAAGUGCAGGGAAGUGUGAAAUGAACGGGGACCUUCCUUGCUCUGUUAAAAUUCUGAGGUAGAGUUUAACGUUUUCUUUGAAAAAUGCAGUCCUGACAGCUGUGGAAACAUGAUGUUCCUACUCUCUGCUCAAGAGGGGAGAUUUAUAGACGAACUUCCCCACAUUCAUCAGCAUCAAAACGUCUCUCUGAAGAGUAGCCUGUUCUUCAGACAGGUUUGCUGUGAGGUCUCUGCUGAAACAUUUCCUGAAGGCUGCAGUUAUCAUCUGUGGGGUCGGCAGGUGUACAUUUGAAGGGAAGUGGACUGCGUCCGCUGAAUCCCUAAACAUCCUUCAGGAUAACAGCAGCUUCAGGUCACUUCUACCUCAGCUUCUCCAAAAAGAAGCCUCAUUAAAAUAAGUGCAACAGUUUUAAUAUAAGAAUUCUUUUAUUGUUUUGUUUAAAAUUAUGAUUUUAAAAAUGUGUUCCUAAAAAUGUGUAGUAUAUGGAAGAAUUGCUCAUGGGCUGAAGAAGACACAAAAUCCUGGUGGCCUGUAGGCUCCCCAGGGCCUUCCUGAAGCAUUAUCAGCCUCUACAGGAAGAGCUCAGACACCCCUUUGGUCACUCUGGGCAGUGACACAGGACCUUCUUUGUAACCCACAAGAUAACAAAGGCUUUCUGGGAUGCAAGUUGAGGAUGUAACAGCUUAUCACAGCCUCUGCCCAAAGCUGUUCAGGCAAACCUGACCACAGGCCAUACCCAUGAAGAGGGUCUGUGCUCAGGGCUCGUGGUUGGUAAUGGUAGCAGACCCACAGUGGCCCUGAGUGAAUAGUUUUGGGUUUUGCACCCAUGUAAUAGCACAGGGGGCUCUAAGGCACCAGAUGAAGUGGCUGAACUGGGGUGCUCACAGCGUGUGGAGGGGGGAAGCCCAGCACACGCCGCCUGCUACCCGUGGCCUUGUGUCUGCCAUGAGUUGCAGCCACACUGUUAUGUAAACCCUCAGCCAGCACACGCUGUGCAGACAGACACCUUGUUUGUGUGUGAACUGAGCUGCGUAGGUAUGUGGUGAAGUUCACACAUUUUAACAGGUUCACCAUUUAAAUUUAGUCCCGAAAGUUAGGAGCUGUUAGAGCCCGCAGUCAUCACUGACAGACAGGACUCAUGUCGGUUUUGAAAUGGAGGAGGAGAAAUGGAGAAGCGCACAGCGUGAUGUAGCAAAUUUAUUCUGUGAGAUAAGGCUCAAGUACAUUUUGCCUUUUUGACAGAUUCUGUGCUAACAAGGCCAAACAGCAGCUCUGCUUCUCCUACCACAGAGGCAGGCAUGCCACUCAUUUAACCCUUAGGAGGCUGCCUGGCUCCCAGGAAAAUAACAAUACCUCAGCCCAAACCGUAUUAAGCUCUGUGAAUAUGAUAAUUAAAUUCAGAGUAAAGCAAUUAGUCUGUAUAAAGAACAUAAAGUAUACUUUUUUUUUUUUUUUUUUUUUAAGAAACAAAACAAAACAAACCCCCCAGCUAUUUCUAGCUAACUAAGCACAGAACACUUAACACAGAUUUUUGACUGAACUGCUUUGAUUCAGCCCAGUCAACCCAGAUUUUCUCCAUCUAGAAACAAAAUAAAAUGAAACAGUGAGUGGAUCAGUCAUUUUGGCAGAGAUUUUCAGACUGCUUUACUUUUUUUUUUUUUCUUUUUUUUUUUUUCUUCCAGUUAUAGCAUGCUGAAGAAAACGAGCCAUCUAAACACUGGUUGUGAUUCAAACAGAUAAAUUAUUUUCAAGAAAACUGAAAAUUCUGUUAUAAAAUGAAACUUUCUCAGACAUAUGUAACUUUGUAUUCUGCUCAGAAUUGGUUAAAAAAAAAAAAGAAAGGUUAAUUAUUUGGUUAAAAAAAGCAACACUCCCACCCCCUCCUGCACCCAGCAUCAAGCUGUACUGGUAGGCAGAGGAACAGCCUGGCACUUAGUAGUCAGCACAAAAGACUAAAACACCUGCUCACAGUCAUACCACAAUAUUUAUUUCAGAACCAGUUAUCUAUUAUUUCAGUUAAAGUAUGCACUCCUACAGACCUGGGGAGAGAUUAAAAUAGCUCCCUGUUAUGGCUAUUCUGCCCACAUCUUUUUCAUUAAUGCUAAACAUUGGUAGGGUAGCAGGAAUCUCAGAGCAGACAGGAACUAUGAUGAACAUUAUCCCUUGUCCUUAUUGCAAAGGAUGGAUCUUCACUGUCACAGGCAUGCACUUUUUGCAUGGCAGGGGACAGUGGCAGAAUUUUUUAAUUAACAUUUGAAUCUAUUAUAUAUGAGUGCAUUCCCUGAUGUCCCACAUGCAGAGAGCUGCAACUUUCUGGUUGACCACUGCUGCCUGUUGGGGAGGGACAAGCAUUUAGGGUUGUCUUCUGGGUUGAAGAUACACUUAUUGCACCACACACUUCCUUAUUUGCUAAGAACAACCCUGUAUGAGCUCACUGCUCAUAUGGGGGUUAACCCUGGUUAUCCCAAAUUUGCAGAUACUAGCAGAAGACCUUGUUGUAAAGGCAGGCCCCUUUGACACCACCUAAAGGUGUGAGUUUCUGACCAGCUGCUCAAGGGGUGCAUUACAAGUAGGAUGAUGGGCACAUUCAGCUGAGGAGUGUGAAAGCCACUCUGGAGUAGUAAACCUUCAUCCUUUACAGACCAACAACCAGCAUCAGUACACCUGACUCCAUGAUGCUGAUGUGGAUGGAGGGUCUAUAGAUAUAAUCAAACAGAACACAAGGGAGUCUGCACAGAGAUUUCCUCCUACAAUGAUUUCUGUGGACAGAAGGUUUUUAAACAGGUAGUUGGCAUGAUGAGUGUUUAAAAAUGUUUUCAAAGAAAUAUAAUCAAUGUAAUUGGCUUCGUAUUUUAAAGCACUCUCUGAGGCUUAGUUAGAUUUCUGUUCUCCUUAGAUUUCUGUUCUCUUCAGCAGAGGUGUAGUUUGAUCUCUAUACAUUUGAUAUAUUAUUCUGGUGUUUUACCAACACUUCAGAACUGAAUGAAACUGGUAACAUUUGUCUUUUAGUCACAAAAAGAAAAAAAUAAAAUCAUUAUGUAUGAGACUAACAAUGAAUGUGACUGCUACAACACUGAGCUAUAGAAAUGAUACAGUAGUUUCACUCAGCUAAAGGAAAGGAUGUCAAAGGGCUUAUAUACUGCUCAACUCAUGCUACUGAAUAUCUUAUUCUUUGAGCAAUGCCAUUAAAUUAAAUGUAAACAUAAAAAGGGAGGGUAUUGUUUAACAUGAAUAAACUAGAGUGGUUAAAUAUUAACCUGUUUUUGGUAGGAAAUAUGCUGCUUUCUUCUCAGCCUGAAGAAUUAAGUGUAGUGUUUUCAAUAAGCAUUUUUGUGCAGUCCUCGAGUAGAUAGUGCAAUCUGCAUGCCGCAAUUUAUUUUGUAGACAAGCUGACUGGUACUGGUUAUUUCCAAGUAAAUGCAUGUUGGCAUUCAAGGUCAUUCUUAAUCUUUCUGCUCAAAUUUCAGACUUUUU